CGUGCUUAACACAUGCAAGUCGAACGGUGAUGCCCAGCUUGCUGGGCGGAUCAGUGGCGAACGGGUGAGUAACACGUGAGUAACCUGCCCCAGACUCCGGGAUAAGCCUUGGAAACGAGGUCUAAUACUGGAUACGAGAUGCCCCUGCAUGGGGAGUGUCUGGAAAGAUUUAUCGGUCUGGGAUGGACUCGCGGCCUAUCAGCUUGUUGGUGGGGUAAUGGCCUACCAAGGCGACGACGGGUAGCCGGCCUGAGAGGGCGACCGGCCACACUGGGACUGAGACACGGCCCAGACUCCUACGGGAGGCAGCAGUGGGGAAUAUUGCACAAUGGGCGAAAGCCUGAUGCAGCGACGCCGCGUGAGGGAUGAAGGCCUUCGGGUUGUAAACCUCUUUCAGCAGGGAAGAAGCGCAAGUGACGGUACCUGCAGAAGAAGCGCCGGCUAACUACGUGCCAGCAGCCGCGGUAAUACGUAGGGCGCAAGCGUUGUCCGGAAUUAUUGGGCGUAAAGAGCUCGUAGGCGGUUUGUCGCGUCUGGUGUGAAAACUCAAGGCUCAACCUUGAGCUUGCAUCGGGUACGGGCAGACUAGAGUGCGGUAGGGGUGACUGGAAUUCCUGGUGUAGCGGUGGAAUGCGCAGAUAUCAGGAGGAACACCGAUGGCGAAGGCAGGUCACUGGGCCGCAACUGACGCUGAGGAGCGAAAGCAUGGGGAGCGAACAGGAUUAGAUACCCUGGUAGUCCAUGCCGUAAACGUUGGGCACUAGGUGUG
rnacentral:rRNA from 1 species